rnacentral:rRNA from 1 species
GAUUGGCAAUAUACAAGCAUCUGUGAGAGGGGGGUUCUAAUAGAGCCUAAGUCACAGUCCUGAGACCCGAAACCAAGCGAUCUAGGCCUGGGCAAGGUGAAGCUGAGCGAAAGCUCAGUGGAGGCCUGAAUAGGGGUGCUGACGUGCAAAUCGCUCCCCUGACCUGGGCCUAGGGGCAAUAGACCAAUCAAGCUUGGUGAUAGCUGGUUCCCUCCGAAGCAGGUCCCAGCCUGGCCCUCCUGGAGACACAUUAAGGUGUAGAGCCACCAAUCGUUGGUCAAGGGCCGAAAGGUCCUGACCGACGGUUGAACUCCGAAGCCUUAAUGGUCAAAGAAGGGAGGAGACGGGUUUCGCGGGAUAAGCCUGCGAGCCGAAAGGGGGACAACCCAACCUAGAGUUAAGGUCCCUAAAUGCCGGCUAAGUGUCAAGCACAAAGGGCGUCACCGUUCUGAGACAACCGGGAGGUAGGCUUAGAAGCAGUUAACCUCUAAGGAGUGCGUAACAGCUCACCGGUCGAGAACGGUGGCCCCGAAAAUUGACGGGACUUAAGCCGGCUACCGAGACUCUAGGGCAUGUCCUGAAGCGGGGCAUGAUUUGGUAGGAGGGCAUCAUGGUCGGUCAGAAGCCAGGCUGUGAAGUCUGGUGGACCGAUCAUGAAAGCGAAUCCUGGCAGUAGUAACAGCGAAGCUGGGUGAAAAUCCCAGCCGCCGGAAGGGCCAGGGUUCCUCGGCAAUGCGUCGUCAGCCGAGGGUUAGCCGCUCCUAAGGGCGGCCUUAACUGGUUCGCCCGAAAGGGAAAACGGUUAAUAUUCCGUUGCUAAGGGUUUACGUUUAGUGGCAACACUAAGCCAUGUUCCAGACGGGUAGGGAUAGGCCAUGUGGAGUUGCCGCUCCACUUAACUUACUAACCGCAAGGAGUGUCGUAAUGACGAGAAUUGCGGGAAGUAAGGAAUAGCCUCCUUUAUGGGGGUAUGGCCGAUUCCCUGCCCCCGUGAAAAUGGAACAUGGAAGGAUAACCCUUAAGCGUACCUAGAACCGACACAGGUGUCCCUGGCUGAGAAGGCCAAGGCGUCUCCGGGUACUCCAGGCCAAGGAACUAGGCAAAUUAGCCCUGUAUCUUCGGUAGAAGGGGUGCCUGGGAUCUUCAGCUUUGCUGGGGAUCCUAGGUCGCAGUGACAAGGAGGUCCUGACUGUUUAAUAAAAACAUAGGUCCCCGCGAGCCCGAAAGGGUGAGUACGGGGGCUGAAUCCUGGCCACUGGCGGUACGCGAACCCCGGGUUCAACCGGGCUAAGCGCCGCUGAAGGCCGGGAGUAACUCUGACUCUCUUAAGGUAGCCAAAUGCCUUGUCGGGUAAGUUCCGACGUGCAUGAAUGGAUCAACGAGGGCCUCACUGUCUCGGCCUGGAGCCGGGUGAACCUGCAACCUAGUGCACAGUCUAGGGACCCCCGAUGGGGCGAGAAGACCCCGUGGAGCUUUACUGCAGCCUCAAGCUGUGAUAUCUUUCCUGCUGCGUAGAGUAGACGGGAGCCCAUGAAGUAUGUUCUCUGGGACAUAUGGAGGCGAAAGUGAAACACCGUCCAGCGGGAAGGAUAUCACUAACCUGGUUUCAGGGACAACUUGAGGUGGGCAGUUCGGCUGGGGCGGCACGCCCCCGACAAAGAAUCGGGGACGUCCAAAGGUCAGCUCAGGUAGGUCAGAAACCUACCGUGGAGGACAAGGCCAAAAGCUGGCCUGAUUGGUUUCCUAACUGCACGGAAACCAAGGGCGAAAGCCUGGCCUAGCGAACGCUUAUGUCCCCUUUGGUGGGGGCUAGGCAUGACGGAAAAGCUACCCCGGGAGUAACCGGCUCGUCGCGGGCGAGAGCUCACAUCGACCCCGCGGUUUGGUACCCAGACGUCGUCUCUUCCCAUCCUGGGGACGCAGCUGUCCCCAAGGGUAGGGCUGCCCGCCCGUUAAAGGGAACCGUGAGAUGGGUUUAGACCGUCGUGAGACAGGUCGGUCUCUACCUAUCGGGGGCGUAGGCUAUUUGAGGCGAAGGUGUUCCCAGUACGAGAGGAACGGAACACCGCCGCCUCUGGUGAACCAGCUGUCCGAUAGGGCAAGCUGGGUAGCCACGCGGUAAGGGCUAAAGGCUGAAAGCAUCUAAGCCUGAAGCCCUCGCCGAGACUAAAUAGCCACUCCCUUUG